rnacentral:lncRNA from 1 species
UUUUUUAGGAUGUAAAUUACGGACUGAAUUCACUUUUCUAGGAUGUGAACCAUAUAAAAAUCAAAUUUUUUUGUCCUCAUGUCCCAUGAAAUAAUUUUGAUUGAAACACAGUUCACAAGUUAAAGUGUACCCUUCAUUCAUUCCCAAGAAAAUAUUUCGAAUAGAACAUUGUUUGAGAGAGUGAUUAAAAAAUAAAAAAUAAAAAGAGAUAUCAAAUUAUAUAUUUAUACUGUCAUAACUACUCCAAUGGCCAAUUAAAAUAUGGUACUGGAUGGUGGCCAAAUAUUUAUAAGGUUCAAUAGUUAAAGUGCAAAUUGAUCGCACUCUAAAUAGUGAACUAUGUUUCAGUUCGCACUCUACAAUGUGAACUCUUUUUUUCAUGAUUUUUUCAUCUAGGGGAAGCAGACGUUGGGUUUGAGUUAAAAAUAUUGUCACUUGCUACUUAAAGUGCGAAAAGUGCUCGCGUCCUAGAAAACGAGGGGUUUAGUUUGGUAAUUUCAGAGGAUGUGUGAGGUUUUAUAGGGGGCGUGAAAAGUAACUCGCAAAUUUCUUUUUGCGCCCUCAUAAAUACUCCUACAUCUUGUAAAAUUUUCAAGUAGUGUUUUAACUUAUAACUUAGCAAGAUCUCAAAAAACACUAUAAACUAAUUGGAGAAGCUUGUUACCGAACACGUGUUGAACUUGGAAGGAAAAAUCGGCCACAAAGAGGAGGAGAAUUGCCGCCGCCGGCCGCCACAAGAGGAGGAAGGGGGGAUUCUCCAUUUUUUUUAAACAGGGGUGAAGAAAAUUUUUAAAAAAUGUCCAGACCGAUCGGGUUACCGAUUUAAACUCUNNNNNNNNNNNNNNNNNNNNNNNNNNNNNNNNNNNNNNNUAGCUUGCGCAACAGUUUUUUUUUUUUUUUUAAAAAAAUAUCUCUUACGUAUAUACUCCUAAUAUCCUAAAUGUGUUAAAAAAAUAAACAUAAAAGACAAUUUAAGAAAACCAAAAUGUGUAACCAAUUAGUCCACUAACAUAUAAAGAGGAGGAUCCAUUGACUUCAGGAGUAAGCCUCUAUUGACUUACUCCGCUUAAUAACUCGAUAUCGGUAUUAUAUUUCUUCAAUCCAACCGUUGAAUUCAAAUAUCUCAUUGAGUAAAUCAACUCCACAAAUUUUUAUAAAAAUUCAAAACCGUUUGAUACUUUUUCUGAUGACUUCAAUUGAACGUACGACAAACUUUUAAAAAAACCAUUGAAUUUCAAUAGUCUGAAUUCAUAACUACAUUUUUUGAAUUUUUAUAAAAAUUUGUGGAGUUGAUCUACUCAAUAAGAUCUUUGAAUUUAACGGUUGGAUUGAAAAAAUAUAAUGCUGAUAUCGAGUUAUUAAUCGGAGUAAGUUAAUGGAGACUUACUCUUGGAGUCAACGGAUCCCUCCUCACGUAUAAAAAUUAUCGUUUGAACAUCCAUAUUUUAUGGUUAAAAACUUAUACUGUAUUUUAUAAGUUAGAAAAAAUUAAAAACAAGUCUUAUAUGAUUGUAUAAUUUAGGCUUAAUUAAUAAAAUGGUCCCUUAAAGACAUUUUUGGUUUCAGAUUGGUCCCUUAAAGAAAAAAAGGUCCAAAUAGGUCCCUUAAAGAAAAAAAGUCCGAAUAGGUCCCUUAAAGACAUCUCCGUUAAUCAGUUUGGUCCUAUUUAGACCUCUUUUUAGAGACCAAACUGAUUAACGGAAAUGUCUUUAAGGGACCAUUUUACUAAUUAAGCCUAUAAUUUAAGACUUAUAUAAAUAAAAAGUAUUGUAUAGAAGAGUAGCAAUGUGUAUGAUGCAUAGGAGAAAGAAGUCUUAUACCUUGCACAAAUUUGUUUUAAUCAUCAUUAGAUUAUCACAUCAUAUAUUUGAUCAAAUUUAUGAUCCAAUAUUUUAUUUUAACCUGACGAGCCAACUCAUUCCACCCUAUUUUAGCGGAUUAUAUGUGGGGCAGAUUAAUUAAUUAUCAAAUUGAAUAUUUCAAUUCCCAAAGAAAAAGGGUUGAAUAGAUUAACUUGAUGGCUGAUGAAUCCAAUUUAUUUUGCCAUCUUUUUUUAAAUUUUUUAAACAAAUGGGGGUGUAGAAGGAUCUACGUACGACAUCCUAAGUAGAUUAAAAUAAAAGAAAAUAGUACAUAAACUAAGGGGACAUAAAAUCUCACCCAAUGAAUAAAAAAACACAACCCAACUUAGUAAAACAAAAAGAAAUUAAACCGCAAAUCUAAUCUAGAACAAACAAAUAACCACACACCACUUUCACGGUCCUGUGAACCUGCGUACAACCCUGAAACCAAAUUGAAAAAAAAGGUGAUGUGUGAAUCAACGAGCACUAAACUUAGAUCUUUGAUAACAGCAAAUUGAAUCGAUCGCCAACAAAUGAACCCAAAACAAUUUCAAGCCACAAAGUAAACCAAUAAUCAAAAAACAGAAAAUGAGAGAGCUUGAAGAAUAACUAGAAACAAACAAAUCCAUAUCAAGGAAAAGCGUGUAAACCCGGGAACAAAACAAACCCAAACUUUAUACCGCGACGCGACAAAGCGAAGAUUUGGCACAACAAACUAGUGGCAAACCAAAUAAACCGGAAAACUAUAUCCGUUAGCGAUGAAGGUUGUAGAGCCAGCGGAACUAGAGUUGUAAUUGGACCGUUUUUUAUCGGUUUUUGGUGAAUCAAAUAUCCGAACCAAUGAACUCUCGAUUGGUUCGGCUUUUGGUGUUUUUAAAAAUGAAACCGAACCAAACUAAUCGGUUUGGUUCAGAUACUUUAAUCGGUUUGCAGCGUUUUAUUUUUCGAUGGAUUCGCUGCUAUUAUUUUUUCCCGAUACAUUCCCUUUUAUUACUUUUUCAAUCACACAUAACACUUGAUGUAAUCAAUUAUCACCAUACUAUCAUCCAUAAGUUUUCAAAUACAAAAUACGAUCCAUUAGGGAUGAUUUUUUUAUGGCUUAAAUAACCAAUUCGUCCCUAUAUGUUUGUNNNNNNNNNNNNNNNNNNNNNNNNNNNNNNNNNNNNNNNNNNNNNNNNNNNNNNNNNNNNNNNNNNNNNNNNNNNNNNNNNNNNNNNNNNNNNNNNNNNNNNNNNNNNNNNNNNNNNNNNNNNNNNNNNNNNNNNNGUUUGUGAGUUUUUGGUUCUCGUCCCCGUGUUUUUUUUUUGUUUUAAAAAAUCCUUGAAUUCACAAAUCCUUUUGGUUUUGGUCCGUGAGGUCAAAUUCUAAUAAAAAAUGCAUAUGCGGCAAAUGGCGACUAACGUGGCAACAUGUGAUGUGGCAAGCGAGGAUGAUGUGUCAAAAAUGAUACUCAGUUAUCUACUUAGAGGACCAAAUCCAAAAAUGAAAUUUCAAAGAGAGAUCAAAUCCAAAAACGCGAAAUUGAACUCAAAAACAUAUUUUUCUUGUUUCUCUAAACCCAUAAAUUGCUCAUAUUUCUCUAAACCCAGCAAUAUGUGUUGAAGGUAUUAAAACGAUAAUAAUCAGAUCAAUCAAACCAAUCAGAACAUAAUAAUCACAAUAUAACCGUUGAUCAUGAAUAACGAAUGGCAAUGUCUGAGAGAGAUAACACAAACGGGUAAAAGGACAGAGCAUUCUACGGCGGAGCUGACGGCUACUAAAACAUCCUCGAUUGGGGUUUUUGCCUAGUGCCACGCGAAACCGACAACCGCACCAUCAACAUCAGAAGACUACAUCAUUCGUUGUCAGGAAAAGGUUUGGAAUUGGGCAAUAUGGAGGAAGGUUGUAGUUUGGUUUUAGCGAGAGGACAAAGUGUUUGUGAUUAAUUUUGCCAUCUAUUAUUAUUAUUAUAUAAAACAAGCUUUUUAUAUUCGUAAAAAAAUGCAUAUGGCCUAAAAAAAUCUUGUCCACCAAGGGUCUCAAUGAUAACAUGUUUGCCUUGAUCACGUGGUCUCGAAACAAUAACACCUUCAUUUCUUGCAAUGUUUGUAAAUGUGUUAUAUUUAAUGAAACCAACAUUAUGGUUUUUUGGUCCACAAAAGUCAUGAGAGAAGCAGGCUGAUCUCUUCGAGUUUGGCCCAAUGUUUUGUUCUCCGUUGAUUGUAGUGUAUGGAUGGAUGGAUAGAUAGAUAGAUAGAUAGAUAGAUAGAUAGAUAGAUAGACAUACAAAUAGAUAGAUAGACAGACAGACAGACUGAUAGAUAGAUAGAUAGACAGAUAGACAGACAGAUAGAUAGAUGGAUAGACAAACAGACAAAUAGAUAGAUAGAUAGAUAGAUAGACAUACAGAUAGAUAGAUAAAUAGAUAGAUAGAUAGAUAGACAUACAGAUAGAUAGAUGGAAAGACUGACAUACAAAUAGAUAGAUUUUUUCAAUAUAGAAUUUUUAAUAUAUUUUAAUACAAAAUUUAGGCAAAAUUACAUCGGUGGUCCCUUAACUUUAUUUUAGGUAACAUUUUCAUCCUUAACUGUUUUUCCCCAUUCAAUUUCGUUAUGUUUUUAAAUUUUGGGAAUGUUGGCAUUUUUUAUAUUACUCAUAACUGCAUAAAAAUUCAUUAAAAAAUCCGCAAAAUUCAUAACAUCAUAAAAAAAAUUAUAAAUUCAAAUGAAUUCAUCUUCUUCACUUUCUCUCUCAUCAAUCAACCAAACCGUAGACUCCAACAAGGAUUGCCCAUAUCAAGUACUUUCAGUCCUAUCAAGUCAGACCUCCAAUUUAAUGGGGCCUUUUUUUUUAAUAUUAUUUUUUUGAAGAUUUUUUUUAAUAUUGUAAUAGGUUCAAUCUUACUUUUUUCUAAAAUAAUAACCGAAAGAAAUGGAAAAGCCCAAACACAACUAUGAUUCAUCUAAUGGCUUAGAAAAAAUGUAAAGAGAAUAAAAAAUAAUUAAAAGACCUUACAAGUAGUAACCUCUGUUCUUCCAAGAACACUAGUUGUCUUUUUCUCCAACACAAUAAGUAGCAACUUGUCUCAAUCCACCAAACCUAUUCUCCUCUCUUCUGUCACCACUGGUAGCGCACAGCCGCACCUCCACCGCAGCAACAGUGACCUUCAAUGUCCACUUAUCACCUCUCUAAUUCUGUGAUUUUGAAGGUGAACAAAAGGUGAAAAGCAUAAUCGAAAAAGGACAAAUUAAACUCAAGGUAGGUUUGUUAAUUGUUCAAUUUUUCUCCUUUUGUGAUUGCAAAUUUAUUCUUCUUCUUUGCUAAUUUUUAAUUAUCUCUUUUUAAAUUGCAUUUUUUUAUUAAAGAUCCAUUUUUAACAUUUGAGUCGGUACUCUAGAUAGUCGGCGUCAUCCAUGGACUCCAACAAUAUUAAAUCCCACAUAAAAACUCAGAUCUUCAUCAUUUUUAAUUAAUCAACCUGCAAUGAACUUUUAUAACUACAAAACUCCAAAUUAAAAAGUUGAGAUAUUCUCAUCUUCAUCAUCCAAGAAUUCUUCCAAAAUUAAAUCUAAAAACAUAAAUCUUCCUCUGUCCAUAACACAAUCAAAUCUGAAAUAUGGGUUUCAAAAAACAAUUGUUAAAAUUAAUAUUAACAUUUAAAAGUGUGAAAAUUAAUAUUCUUAAUUUUCUAUAAUUAUUAUAAAAAUAUAUAAUUAAAUGAUUCAAUUGACUAAUCUUUUUUGAAAAUGUUUAAUGAUUCAAUUGAUAAAUUAAAGUUUUCAUUAGGUGGAUUGAUUAAAAAACAAAUUGUUGUGUAAUUUAAAAUUUAUUUAAUGUUUAAUCACCUCUCUUUUUUAAUAAAAAUUAAUCAUGUCACUUUAUUUUAAUAUAAAAUAUAAUAUUAUAUUGUACUAUAUUAUACCAAAUAAUAUUACUUUGUAAAAAAUAUUAAAAGAAUAAUAUAUGACACAUCAUGUUAUUAGAUGAUAGCUCUUAAAUUAUAAUUUAAUUUGAAGAAUAUUUUCAAACUUUCCAUAUAAACUCACAAUUACAUUAAGAAAACGUGUAAAAUUUAUAAUGCAUUUUAUUUUUUAAAAUAAAACAUAUAAUACCAUUUAUUAUUUACUUUUUAAUAAUAAAAAUAAUAUUUAAAUAAUACUUCAUCAGAUCAUAUAUAUAUAUAAGAGAGAGUUUACUUUUUAGAUUCAUUAAGAAUCUAAUGUAUCUGGAGCAUAUUUUGGUCCAAAUACAUUAAAUUCUUAAUGAAUCUAAAAAAUAAAUUUUCUCUUAUAUAUAGGACUGGAGGGAGUAUCAUUUAUAAGAUAAACACAUAGCUAAAAAUAAUAUAUAAAGUACAAGGUUGAGAUAAAAAAAAAUACCAAAACAUAAGAAAGAGAAAGGAAGUAACAUGUAAGUGUAUAAGUUCUUCUUUUUGUUGGAUGAUAAUGUAUUCUAUGUGUAUGUGCAUGUUUUUUAUUUGAUAAAUAAUAUUGAGUUGUUUGUUAAUUGCUCUCAUUUUAAUGGAAGUGUAUAAUCUUCUGAUCUAUGUUAAUUGAUUCUACAGGUGAUUGUAUAAAAUUGUUAACUUAAAUUUACAAGUAAUACUUAUCAAAGAUGGUGAAGAUCAGACAGUUUUAUACUAGGGUCCAGAAGAUUGAAAACGCCUUGUCUUGCAAUCUUUGCAACAAAUUUCUUAUUGAUGCUACCAAAAGCACCUGCUGCUUUCAUACUUAUGAGAAUUUCUAUUGAUUUAUAAACCUCUUCAAUCUUUUCUACAUUUUUUCAUUUUUGGUUAUAUGUAUAUAUUUUGGUUAAUAUUGUAUAAAUAAUUUUUAUAGGUAAAAAUAGGUUCAACUUAAUAAAUUUUAUAAAAAGAAACUUUAAUCAAAAAAUUUAAAAGAAAUUAAACAAAACAACUUUUAUAUGAACUAUGUUUAGUAUUUUCUUUUUCAUUUCAUAUUCUAAUAUAAGUAAUUAUAUCAUAUUUAAAUUAUAAUUAUGAUACCAUAUUUGUUUUUCAUUUAAUAUAAGUAAGAAGAUAUGUCUUAGUUGUUGCAACUUUUGAAAAAUCAUUUGUUCAAUUUUCUGAGUAUUAGUAUGAAAUAUAGUCACCUGACAUAACAUGUCUCAUUAUGUUUGUUGAUUUCGUUUGAAUAUGUGCAUUAGGGUUGAAGUACCCUUAUAUUUUGUUCAACUAGUAACCGACCCGUGCGAUGCACGGGUUUGGAAGAACGUCAUAUAUAUAACAAUCAUGGUUGUUGUCAAUCAUGGAUGCUAUGAGCCAAAUGAAGUUAGUCAUAAACAUACAAAAAUUAAUCAAAUUGGUUCAUUUGGCUGAACGCCAAACUUAUUUCAAUCAUGAAUGUUGUCAAUCAAGUGAGUUAAUCAUAUAUCAUUACAAAUAUAGGAUGUUUUAAAUUAAAGGCAUCAUAUAAGUUAAUCUUAAUUAAGUGGGUUAAACAUAAUUGAUCAUUGCAAACAUAAAUGAAGACCAUAUGCACACUUCAAGUGAAUCAUCACACCAAAUUUUAUAAUGGAACUUUCAUGACCUAUGACAUUUAUAGAAAGAUUACUACUAUUUGAGAAUAGAUAGGAGUGCUAUGGGACAUGAGAGUGCUAUUCAAAAUAUAGGUAGGAGAAACCAUUGUAUAUUAUGAUGAUAGAAGAAUUUUGUGAAGGACAUGAUAGCAAGUUCCAAAAUAGAAUUCAUCCUUCCUGUAUUCUUCAAUAUAUGAGACUUUUCUAGGUCAAUCUCAUUAUAUCCAAAUUCAAUUUACAAAAACAACCACAUAAAUUAUCAUUAUCAUUACAAUAUGAAGAAAAAAAAAAGUUUCAAUGCACAAUAAGGAUGCAAGAGUACAUUAAUUUGGUUGAUAACUUCAAGCUCCAGGUCCCUCUUUAGGCAAUCAUGUCGCAUAUAGAUCUAAGGCCCCAAACCAAAUUGAUAAUCUUCUAUCAUAUCCUACAAUCUAAAAUUCCCUGCAUAAAAUUUGGAAAUUCAUCAUAUCUGAGAUAAAAAGANN